UGGAGCCGGGGCACGGGGCAGCUGUCCCUCUGCAGCCACACGCCACAGGGGAUGGGCGCCGGCAGACACGCCUGCUCGCUCCAGGGGGUCUGAAGGGAGCCGAGCUCCUUCUGCAGAAGGGCGCUGAGAAGGGAGCUGGAAGGAAAAGAAGGAAACAUUCCUCCCUCAACUGGAGGAAGACACGCGGCCACACACAGAACCAGCGGCCCCAGGACCGUCACCCUGCGUGCCCGGGCCUGUCCCUCCUGACCCCAGGAUUAUAGUGGCGAGGCAGGGUGUUAGCCAAGCGGAUUGAGCCAGGACACAGCCCCGCGGGGCCCUGCAGGCGAGUCCUCCGGAGGCUGAGAGCAAACGGCUGCACUAGGAACCCAAGCAGUCAGACCGGCCCCCACCCUGGAGUGAACACAUCGCCACUGCCAGGCAUCGCAGGGGUAAGGAGCGGUUUUCUCUUCUCUUUAAAGCUUGAUUUCGCGUCACGUCCUGCCUUUUUCCUUAUGUUUAUUGUCACGGGCUGUAUCGCAUGAAGACAGUGCACGAGUUAGU